CUACGGGGUGCUCCAGUGGGGAAUCUUGCGCAAUGGGCGAAAGCCUGACGCAGCAACGCCGCGUGCGGGAUGAAGGCCUUCGGGUUGUAAACCGCUUUUACCAGGAAGGAAAAUGACAGUACCUGGAGAAUAAGGUGCGGCCAACUACGUGCCAGCAGCCGCGGUGACACGUAGGCACCAAGCGUUGUCCGGAGUUAUUGGGCGUAAAGAGCUCGUAGGCGGGUCAGUAAGUCGGGUGUGAAAACUCUGGGCUUAACCCAGAGACGCCACCCGAUACUGCUGUGACUUGAGUCCGGUAGGGGAGUGGGGAAUUCCUGGUGUAGCGGUGAAAUGCGCAGAUAUCAGGAGGAACACCAAUGGCGAAGGCACCACUCUGGGCCGAGACUGACGCUGAGGAGCGAAAGCGUGGGUAGCAAACAGGAUUAGAUACCCGAGUAGUC
rnacentral:rRNA from 1 species